GUUGGGGUGGUGGGAGCAGGUAGAAGGGUUUCAAAGGGACUUUUCAGCAUGGUUGUGCCCUGCUCUUGGCUUCUACAGCAUCAGUCCCUGGCAAUCGAAGGCACCGGGUUGCAAAUCAACUCUGUGCGAGGUACCUCCAGCUCCAGCUUGUGACUCAUGCUCGUAGCCUUGCUCCUGCCCUGGCAAAGGAAACAACCCCUGUGAAUCAUUUGCACAGAGAGGAGUGCAGUGGGGGGGGGGGGGAAAUAUCAAGGCAAGGUCAAAGAGAUGGAGGGCAACAGGAUUCCCCCUCCUACAUCACUGACCACUCCAGUCCCUUUUCUAGCUGAGGCUUCCCAGGGCUCAGGCUCUAUCCAGCUCCACCACGAGCCAGCUGACAGCUGAUGGCUGAGGGAGGAGGAGGAAGUUGGAGGAAGAGCAAAGCUACUUUGACAGAUGUCAAAACCUGCGCAGCAGUGGAGCAAAAAUCACAGUGCCUCAAAAGCUGGAGCCACCCUAUCGGGGUGCCCAGGGGAGGUUGGGGUGCAGUCUGAAUGGCCCCUUUACCUGUUGAUUUGCUCUAGGUUUGCUGUCUCCUGGCCAUGCAAAGCCUAAGGAGAGCCAGGAGGGAUGAGCCCUGGAGUUGACUGGCGACCUCCACCGCGUAGCAGGGAGGACUGUGUAUUAAUGAUGAUGACUCUGCUUUGGCUGGUGCUGAAAUAUCUGUAUUAUCUAUUAUCAGCUGGGAGACGAGGCUGGAGGCUUCGCAGAGCUGGGAUCUCAUCCAAAGCCCGGGCUGCUAAAGGAAACAAACAACUCCCCGUGCAUGUUAAGUGGGUUCCUAAUUAAUUAAUGACUCAUUAACCUGGGGGCCCCAAAUUCCAUCCAGCACCUCACUGAGGAAGAGGAAGGAGGUCACAGAGUGGCCACAGGCUGGGGCUGGGGACAAAUAUAGUGUUGGGUAUGAUGGACAUGGCUCUCAACUGCAAGACAGCAGAUUGACUGGGGGGAAUGGGGUGCAGGCAGCAGACCCCCUCUCUAUCUUAUGGAAGGGUGCAGCAUCCUUUCUGCUAACUUCUGCUGGGGAGGGAGAAACAGGAAGGCCAGGAAGGAACAGGCAAGGAGCAGCGCUCCUGGCUGUUCCCAUGGCACUUGGAAUAGCAUUGCAGAGCCCCAAGCACAGGGAUAAGGGCUUGAGGUCCGUCUCUACUCUUCCUCGGGCUCUGCAUGCCAACACUGGUCGGUGACUGAGGUAGGACCGGCUGCAAAGUGAAGAGGGUUUCUGCCAAAGAUGGGGGAAACUGAGGCAGGGGAGAUGUGCUGGACCCCACACCCAGGCUGGGAAGUGUCUGUGUGUAUCAUAGGCAAAGGAGGAGCUCAUGAAUUCCACUCACAUCCUAAGAAACGUCCAAAGGGGUGAAGGAACCACCAGUCCACCCCAUGGAGAGCCCUGCUGGGAUGCGGAAUGUACCAGGGAAGGGCUUGCAUUGCUUUACCCUGUAUACGUCCCCUUUCUACAACCACCCCAAAACUUCGCCCCCUCUUCGCCCUCCCCAUAGCAUCGGGGCUGUCCCACUCGCUCGAGAGAAGUCUAGGGGCACUACAAGGGAACGUCAGGAUCCCGCUGACCGCCCCUUCUGUCCCAGCCCAAGCCGUUUCUCGCCGAGGGGGAGCAGUCGGGGGCGGCCGGGGCUUGCGGCGAGCGGCGGGGAGAUGGCGCUCGCAGCCCGGCGAUGGCCGCCCGCCGCCCCCGGUGCGCAUAGAUGGAUGCUCGGCACAGCCAUCCGGAGCAGUGCCCCCACCCUCCCUUCCACAUCCCCACCUCAGAAAAUAAAUAAGUAAAUACAACAAAACACCAAAAUCCAACAAACAACCUGCGGUUGGGGCUUGCAGUCGCCCUCAACAUGCUGCCCCUCAGGAGUUAUUCCCCUUCUUUUUGUUUUUACCUUCCCAUGUGCUUUUCGCCUGCCCCCCCCCCCCCCCCCCUUCCCUCUGUUUAUCCACAUCGCUCCCUCCUCACAUAUUUGUUCCCCCAACACUCCUCCCCGAUAUCAGCAUCCCAGUGAAUGUAGGUGCUGCUUGAGCAGCUCUGGGUGUGCAAACGUAGUGUGUGGGCACAACUGCAGCUCUGCAUAUUCCCAUGCCCAAGAUGGGGGGAUGCAGCCUCCCCAGCCCCAAGGGCUCACUCUGGGGCUGCAGGUGGUCUCUCAGACUCUACACAUGGGUAUCUAAGCACUCUUCUUCUGCCCAGAGUGUUUUACAGCAAUGAUCAGUCUCAGUCAUUGGUCUGAGCGGGGAGGACGGUGAUGGAGGGGCUUCCUGUGGCAUUUCAUUCCCUUCUUUUUGGGGAUAGAGAAGAGCAAGCAAUUCAGUCUCACAAUCAAAUUCAUCUCAUCCAAAUUCAUGUCCUCCUCAAGCAGAAGUGUAGCAUGCAGGAAAUCCCUUGUCAUCGUCAUUGAUACCUGUUGCAGGAUACCAGUUCAGCUCAUUAAUUAGCUCCAGGAAACCUGUGCUGGUAAACAAAUGAAUUAAAGUCUUUCCCUGGGCUUGAUCCUGGGUCAAGGGCUGCCCCAUUGCCACCUUUCCCGGAUAGGUGCAAAAAAAGUGCAGAGUCUUUUCUUCAAGAUGGAUGACAGACUGUCUCUGUAAUUACCUCUCCUCCUCUCCUUGUAAAAAAUUCACAUUCCUGAGUGAGCCUUCAAAGCACAGGGAGCUGCCACCUGGCCUGGGGAUUUAUAAGGGAGCAUCUUUCAAAUUUGCAGCAAAUACUGGAACAGCUCAGUGUGGCUGCAGGUUAUGUGCAAAGGCUCCUGGUGCAUCUCAUGUGUUCUUGCAUCUCUUACCCCAUGUCUUUGGGGUUUUGCACUUACCUGGGGUAUGCAGGAGGUGCUGGGAUGCAGUUGAGGAGUGCUUGCAUGAACGUGCACUACAAUUGUGACUUGCUAAUGGAGGUUGCUUGCCCACCCAUACAUUCAGGUGGAUGAGGGGUUUUGAGCACUGAAGCAAGGGAAGAAAGGGGAUGGGGCCAAGGUGGGGAAGGGAAUUUCUCAGCCAGGGUAGGGUUGCAAACUUCUUAGCAUUCAACCAUGUUUCCGCCAAGGAAAACAGUAUUUUAGUGUUCCAUCUGCACGGAGUCCAUUUCCACAUGGCCCUUCUUGUCCCAGAUCCACAGGGGACCAGAUCUUCAAGUCCUAAAUUGCCACGGCAAGGAGCUGUGGCAAUCCUUGUUUUUCCAGGUUGGAGUCAGUGCAGAUCGUAGAAUCAUGCAGUCAUAAGAUCAUACAAUUUCCAGAGUUGGAAGGGACCUAUGAGGAUCAUUAAGUCCAACUCGAGUCAUCCUAAUCUUCAGCAUCCUCCAAUCUCCCAAUACAGAAAGUUCCAUCUACCUUGCAAACCUUAUCCCUCCCAUUGCCCAUCCCCAAGACAAUAUUGGUGGAAUUUAUUUCCUAGGUAAAGAACCAUCAACUGGAGUCCAAAAUUCUCACUUGGAGAGCAAGCUGGCAAGCCAGCUCAAGUGCAGGGCAUACCACCCUUUCUCUUAGGUGAGCUCUGUGUGAUGAUUGGCUCUUUAAAUACGGUUUGCAGUAGGGCUGAGGCUACAAAACACAACAUUUGUUAAAUAAAGAGGAAAAUGAGCAGCUAAUGAGGUCCCUUCAGGAAGCCUGUUCUUCACCACAUCUAGGGCUUAGAAAUUCCUAUUGGUGCCUUUCAGACAGAGGGUUUUGUAUUAGUCUGAUUAUGCUGAGAUAAUCUGUCAUGUUGCUCUAGGAGGCUCUCAGGGAAAGAGAAAAAAAAUAAAAUAAAAAAAGGAAAAGAAAGAUAAUAUUUUAAAUCAGAGGGCUGCUAGAUUGGUGACUCUGUCUCGCAAAGACACACAUCACUGCCCCCUUUAUGAAAAUUUAAAUUGGUUACCUCUGUCAGAGAAAAUGAGAGAUUUGCUGAUUUUAAUUUGUUGGAGCGGAUUGUCCCCCCACCAGCGUUAUCAAAAUCAAACCAGGAUUUGAUGUCCUACCUUCCUCUGCAUUUCUUUUUUUUCUCUGAAUAUUUCUUUAUAAAGCAUUGAUCAAGGAGUUGCCAGCUGAUAAGGAAUGAGUGGCUGAAACUGCAAGGUUUGUCACAUACAGUGCUGUGCCUUAUUCCUGGGACAAGGGGAUCUGCAGAAAGAAAAUGGUAUUUGGAGGCAGAAUGAACAGAAACCUUCUAAGGAAAUGACUUUUUACCAGUUUGGAAUAUUUGUGGAGGCAAAAGUGGAAACAAAUGGCUGUAAUCUUAUGCGAUGCACUCUAUAUUAAGCUGAUGUACAUAUAAUGUGAAAUUCUCCUUCCAGUGUGCUUCGUGGGUUUUAGGGAGGUGUUUCACUCCACAUAGAGCUGCUGCUUGCUAAACUAAUGUGGCCUGAGACAAGGACAGAGGAAAUCUGCAUGCAUUCGGGACACCAUUUUGUGCAUGUCAUAUGCAUGCACCAGCAUAUAUUAUAGCCAGGUUCUUUUUCUGAAGAUCUAGUUCUGGCCUGAGGAUGUGAUAUCUCUUCCUACCAUUUCAGCACUCCCGCCUACAUGCUCACCUUGUCUCCUGCCUGUCGUCAGGCUGGCCUUCCUAGAUGGAGAUUUUUCCUCGGUUUCUGAGCUCAUCUGACCUGUAAGAAAGUCCUUGCUGUUUACAGAAUGACUCUAUAUUAGGACUAUCCCAUUCCUGGCAGAUGAACCUAUUCCAUAUUCAUCAAGAGUUUGCUCUCUAAAUGCUUUUGGGACAGGGGCCAUCACGAUUCCCAUGCUAGAAUGGAUCUUGAGCUGAACACUUUAUCUCUGUCCCAUCUGUGCUGUUGUCUUCUUGUGCACCUCUUAGCUGAUCAUUUAAAUUUACUGCUCCACAAACCACAGAAAGCUUGAGCUACCCAAAGCAGAACACCAUGGUUUGAUUUUAAAAGAUGCUGUGGUGCAAUCCCCACCAAGGGGAAGAUCUUAGCCACUGCCAAACCGUAAGUCUCAGGGUAGAGGUUCAGGUCACGGUUAAUUUAGGUGUUGGCCACACUGCAUGUUGGCAUUUUCAGCUAUUAAAUGAGUCUGCUUGUCUUCUUCCUUGCCUGGUUUUGUUCCCCAGGCCCCAGUGGGGCCCUGUGCCAGAUGGACUUGAUCAUCAAAUAAGAAAUCCUUCCCUUGGGAUUAUGAGAUGAAAGUAAUCAGUCAAGAACCAAACACAAAUUCUACUUCCUGUGUUUUGACUGUGCAUGAGUGUCUUUCCUUAAACUUUCGUCCCAGUUAAUGUUUCCCUACCUUUUCUUAAUCCUUAUUUUCUUAAUGCCUCUCUAUGACUGAGGGUCUGGAAAGGUGUGAGCCUCCUGUUCCCUCCGUUGUGUUCCUCCUGGAUCAAGCACAUGCUUUUCAGGAGACUUUUUAUAACACACUGUCCUGCAAAAUGCUUUGCUGUAUGGCCCAGUCUAGUGACAUACAAGCAGAUUAAGCCCAGGGCAGGAGCCUGGUUUAUACUACAUAUUGUUUAGUAGCAAUCUAACAAUGACUGUCUUCUUCUUGAAACAAAUAUCUGCUGGUUCCUGCAAAUGAAAGUCGAUGCACCUUCAGAAAGAAAUUUGUCCCAAUGGGGUCUUUUGUAUUGAAAGCCCUGUUGGUAGAUUUAUUCGUUGUGCAGGUCUGUUCCCUUAACAAGUCAGUUAUUCAUUGGCCAUUGCUGGAGGGUGUGUGGGAUUUAUGGUCAUAGUCCUGUAAUCAGAUAUUUUGUUAUAAAGGGCUUUGCCACUGUGGAAGGUUUGAAUAAAUCAGUAUGCAGCAAAAAUUGAUCCUCUCACAAUCUAUUUCUGGACUCAGCUCCUGGUUUACAAAUGCCUUCCCCCUUCUAAAACCAUGCUACUUAUGUCUCUGCAUGCCCACACUCUGGUCUGCUCUACCAAAACUUUGCAUUAGUGCAUGUGCACACACCCAUAAAAAUUCACACAAAUGUAUGUUUUCUGAAUGUGAUUUUCCUGCUGACCACUGUUGAGAUGCAUGCUGUUGUCAUUUCCCACACCAAACAAAAAUAUUUACUCUAUCACCUAAUUUAAGCAUUUAGAGUUUGGAAUGGACUGCUUGAAAAGACUUUAAUCAAAUGCCAGUGAAGAAAGGGAAAUCUGAUUUUGAGUAGCUGCACUGAUGCUUUAAGUACUAAGGAGCUUGGCCUGUUAAUCUCCACUUCUCAGAUGUUGUUCUACAAUCUGAUCAGACCUACUGAGCUGAAAGCAAGGGUUAAUUAUGGGAAAAAAAUCUCCUCAACAUUACACACACGAAGAGAAGGGCAAGGGUGAGCCCCUUGCUUUUUGGUUGGUGCAAGCUCACCACGUGCACGUGAUAGUAAGAGCCUUCCAUUCUUGCAUGUGCUUGUCUCUGUGGAGGUAAUUGCAGCAAAGCCUACAAUUUUGAUGGCAGAAAUCAGGAACGGGAGGAUAGAAAGAUCUCAGUAACCUAGCAGCCUGUACGUCUGCUGUUUGAUAGGUGUUUGGUGAUGUUAAAUGGUCAGCGGUCAAUGGAGAGAUAGAACUCAAUAUUCAUGUUGAGCUGUCCUGCAAUCUAUGCUUGGAAAGGAGUUUGGCAGUGGUUAGUCAGCGUUCUGAUGCGCUGCUCACCCUGUAUGUGGAGCAGAGCAGCUUUCCUGGGAAGCUUUGAUGGAUCUAGGGAUGGGCUUAGAUUUUGGAGAAAUCACUGUGUUAGGUGUGCCCUAGUGAGUGCGACUAGCCUGCAAGAGUGUUAAGACCUUGUGACCUUAUCUCCAUAGAGCGCACCACUGGAACGACGUACAUAUUGUUGUGGGAGAGAAGGAUUGUGGGUCUUGGAGCUGUCCACGCUUCAGCACUCAAUGGAUGCGAUAUAAUGCUGACCUUUCAAUUAUUCAGCAUGGCACUUUCAUAUCAGCCAUGAAGGCAUCAAGAGCCAAUGUAUGUUUGCUUCAUAUUCUGAACGCUUAAAAAAAACAAUAUGAGCAAUGUAAAAAACAACAAGUCCUGUGUGACUUGCUUUUUCCUGCCAGCCUAGGGGUUUUAGAAAUGUUAAUAGGGAGAGCAAUGCUGUGGGGACUUCCAGAUUCUCCAGAUGGAGAUGAUUCUGCUACCAGCAGGAGAGAUGGUGACAGUCAGAAGCACAGCAAGGCUGGGAGGGCAAGAGGGAAGCAGGGAGAGAUCCCAGCAAAAUGCCAGUUAGCUGUGGAAUCCAUUCCAGUAGGAUGCAUGGAAAUAUUAGGAAGGCAUCAUGUGCAGCAAGAGUUAUCACGGUUGCAGAGGUACCCAACACACCCUUCUGUGUUUACACAACUGCCUGUCCAUGGGCAUCUCCUGCAGGUAUAGAAAUGCCACUGGAAGGGAAGAUUUUAGCAGCAAAUCUCCAGAUAGUCUUUUCCAACAUAAGCAAUUCUACCAAAGGGCAACCGCAAUCCAAAGCCUUGCCUCCUCCUGGGACCAAGGAAUAUGAAGGGUGGAGAGGAAGGAAUUGGACUAGGCAGUUUCCAGAGGUCCCUUCACUCUCAAGUGUAUGUGAUUCUGUGAAGAUGGAACAUAAAUGCUGUAAGGUUUUGAUACUCCCUUUGAAUUCAGAUGCUUUCAGGGGCUGCCUACUUGCUUUGGCUUGUAUAUGGCAACCAGAAGGUCUGCAAGGUAUUUAAAGGAAAAGCACUGGAGGUUGUAUUGCAGAACACACUGCAGGGACUGCACUGGUGGGACUCUAUGGUAGCACCUUUUGGGCUUGGUAUCUCAGAGAAUGGGAAGCCUGAAGGGAACUGAGGUCUGGGAUCUGAAAUUUAAGACUGUGGAGAUGCUCUGAGUGGGAGCAAAGACUCGCAUCACUGUGAGACACAGUGUUUCUAUCCCCCAAGAAAACAACUAUCCUAGCUCUUUGCUGGGACAAAGCCCUGCAUGGUCAUUCUGUUUUCUUUAUCUGACUGCUCUCUGCCUGGGAAGGGGUCCUACUAUGUUCUUCUAUUGCUCUGAGUUCUGAGACCCCAACCAUAGAACUUCCAUUCCUGUUCCCACAUAAACAAAGCAAACAAUAAAGGAAGAAGAGGAAAUUCAGGAUAUUAAACAUCUCCUUCCUAUCUUGAAUAAAUGUGAAUAUCUUUAUAUGAGAGCUCAAAAUGCUUUCCAUUUUAUGUGGUGAGGAGAAUGUGGGACAAAGUGGUGAUUUUUCACACCUCCCUUCCCUUGUUCAAAUCAUCUCUAGAAGUGAUGGUUGGAUCUAAAUAGGACACGACUUUUCCCAGGCCUGGAGUUUGUUUACCAGACUCUGCUUAUGUGCAAGUGACAGUGCUGGGAAGUGAUAGGAGAGCUAAAUACAGCUUCCAAACACAACCAAACACGUCAGAUGCUCCACACCAGACAUGGCUGCAUUUCACAUGGACUGAAAAAAUCUUCUUGUAACUUCCUGUACUCAUAAAUGCAGUUUAUGAACUGUGAGGUGCACAGCAUGCUGUAGUGAUGUGGUUAUUAAAACCCCAGCCUCCCACCUCAAAUUACAGCCCAAAUGCUAUGUUUGUUUCCCACUUAAUGCUGGCCCUCUGAGGUUUUCCUUUAGCACUAAGCCCUUUUGAAGUUGCUGUUGAUUACAGAACAGACAGUGUAAUCUCCCCAUGGAAGUUAUUUGUAGUUGUGGGGGAGAAGAGGUGGAAGGAAAUCAAUCACCCUUGUGCAAAUGCCAGAAAUGGGGUGGAGGAUUAAUGACGUUGCUCAACCACACUUUCUACUAAGGGUCCAGUACAGCAUCCUGCCACUCAGAUGUCCUUUUCUGAAGCAUCAGUGUGUCUGCCACAACUCCUUAGACAGUCAGAGAAGGAGUAAUUGGAAGGGGGCUCAGCUGUGCAAAUUGGCUUUUGGUCUGGAAGGUGAUUCCAGAGGUGUAAUUAUUCUGUCCAGCCACCAGCCCCUCAUCAAAUGUUGGCAACAUAGAAAAUACCCUAUUUUCUCUGUCCUUGUGGCGUAGCCUGGCAUUUUCCUGGGUAAUCAACAGGGCAAAUCAGUUGAAGUCAGUGUGCUUUAUCCUUUCCCAGACUACUGGACAAUACUGUCUGCUUUUCUAAACUUUUCUUGAUGAGCUCUUUUAAAGUCCUAUCACUUGGUAGCUGUGGGUGCUACAGCAUCUAGCUUGAGUAUGGCCAAUGUAGAGAUCUUGAGCACAAGUCAGGUGGAUACUGCCUGGAUUGAACUAGGUGGAAAGCGAAAUAUUGGCAAGGAUGAGACCAACAUCUGUUUGUCUUCUUGAUCUUGCUCCAGCCCAGCUCCAACCAUCCGUGAACCUCCUGGGGAGCUGUUCCCGUCUCUUGACAAUGAGUUUAUUU
rnacentral:lncRNA from 1 species